rnacentral:lncRNA from 1 species
ACCCUAAAGGCACACUUUCAAUCAGAUCACACUCAGAUAGAUUUCUUGAAGUGAAGGAAAUAAAGAACAAAUGUUGAUCACUACAAGCCUACAAGGUAAGUUUCAUAUGGUGAGGUUUUCUUCUACUACAAGGAACGAUCCUAUGAUCUUGCCACCGAGAUCUGGGAAUGUCUCGUAUCCAGGAAGAGAACUCACUUUGCCUGUUCUAUCAACUUGAACUGGAUACUUAAGAAGAUGACCUGGCAUCUCUGUGACUUCUUCCGCUGCAUAUUGUCUCCAAUUCAGCUCACUCAAUUGCCUAACUCGUCUCACGCAUUCCAUGUUCUCUGGUUCCUCGAAUUCUUGCUCUAGAAACCCUAGAUGUUCUGCCCAUAACGACAUUCUAUAUCCAAAGAUCUGCAAGAAAUUGAGACAAACCAGGGUUCAGACAUGUUAAAGAGAACAUACAUUGGUGGGUUUCUAGAUUUUCGUCUUAGAAUGCUAUCCUAGAUUGAGAAGUAGAAGUCUCUGAAAGUCUUAUUUACCUGACCACGAGGACGAGAACCUUUCUUAGCCCAUGAAUGGUGUGGCUGAUACCCUCCCAUAGCGAUUUCAGUGUCUCUAGUUCCUUCCAAGGAUCUCUGGUUGAUAUUCGCGGAACCAAUUAAGACAAACUCAUCAUCCACUACCAUACCUUUGGAAUGAACAUAUAUCAUGAAUCUCCGACUCUUCAAAGCUUGUACCUAGAUUGGUUUGUCGUUUUAAUCAGUAAGCGAACCCAUUAAGGCAAAAUCGAAGAUUUCAAAAGAAGACAUUUAAUAUAUGUAUACCUGUGCAGCAUUUAGCUGAGGUGGCUUCCGAGGACUAUUAUAUACGCUAACAGUUCCAUCAGGAACCUCUCUGGUUCCAACCUCUCUGGUUCCAAGACAGAAAAAGUUCAAAAAGUCUUGUGGCUCAAGCUGGCCAUCAAGACCAACUUCCACAAGUGCCUUGUAGAUGGUUUGAUACAUCAUUUGCAUGGUUUUGUGCUGCAGAGGUUGUGAAAAAUUCCGGUAAAAAGAAGGUGAGAUCGGGUUGUUUUUAGCAAAGAAUCAAAAAAUUAUUUUACCUGCCAGUAGAGAAUUCUUUGAAUAGGAUUACUUGUUGGAGCACCUUCUGGCCACAUUGGAAUGACAAUAUAAGCAGCAAACUUUUCCCUUGCUCUAAUUUUGUUAGCAAUCUUCAGCGCGAUUUCCAUCGGGAUUAGAUUAUUCGCACCUGCAAUGCCAAAACUCCUUGUUUACAUAUUGUACGCAUCGAUUACUAAGCUUUCCUUCAAAAGCUUUAAAGUUUCUUACCCAAGUUCUUGUUUGAAUCCCAAUUGAAUGAUGAUCCAAGAAAAUAUUGGUUUUCAAUGUAAAUGAAGUGCUGAGCAGAUCGUAUGGCUUUAACAUAAGCUGCAUGUAUGCUCAUAUCUAUGAGAAUGUUCUUCCCACAUAGAAGGUUCUGUUCAUGAAUACAUAAUCAGUCGGAGAUAGCAACAUGAUGACAAACAAAAACAGCUCAGAGUUGUGGUGCUAUCUUACUCUUCCAGUAGCUUCCUUUGGGUCCUUUGGAAACCCUUUAACUGAACUCGAAUCAAUUGAACGGAAAACCUAAAGAUUAAUAUCAUUGGAGAAAAAAUGAGAUUCUUUUUGUCACCACCACAAAUAACAAUAACUAGCAAAAAAAUUAGACUUGCUAAAUUACCUGAACAUGCCAAGACUCUGGAUCAUUAUCAUUAGCAGAAGAAGCUUCGGAAAGUCCCAUUAUGUCAGGAAUUCUGUCUAACCUAAGCAAAGAAUCAUCAGAAGAAGUUCUUAGUCUCCCAAUUCCGCGAGGUUUUGAAGCCUUCAUCCAGCGUUCCUCAAAAUUAGCAAGCACAUCAUAUGCAGCUGGACCAUCAAUCUUGCUGUGCAGAUCAUGCCAUGGUUCUCUUGGUCCAUCAUCCGCAGUAGUCUAAUAAGAAAAACAGAAUUUACAUGGAUCAAGAAUAGCGGAUUCUAAUUCCAAAAUUGCAACCAAGCAGGUUUUUUCUUAAAUGAUUACCACAAAAUUUGGGUUAUGGAAGUCAUCUUUAUGGAUUGUCUUUAAUGUCCUGAAGAGAGGAUGCUUGGGAGUAUCAAAUCGUCCGUUGCACAAGUCUAGCCCUCCAACAAAUGCUACAAUCUUUCUUCGGUUCUGAGCUGCUUCAGCAUCUACAAUCAUAGUUUUCUGAUGAUGCGUGUAGAUUGUUUCAACUUCCUGAUCAUCAUAAUGACACUCAAAUUUUAGACGCUGAAGCUAUACACACAAGAGUUUACACAGUAAUGAAGUAACUAAUGAGCAUCUUACAGAUUUUUUUAUGAAGCUGUGACCUUUCCCUCCAUAUCUAGGACAAAGGAGAACUUGCACCGAUGAGUGCUUGAAAAAACGGCGAGUCUCCUCAUCGCUUGUGUUCAUAAGUCCUUUCUACAUGCAACAAAACACCAGCUUUUAAUUAAAUAGAUAGAAGGAUUGUAGCUAAGUUAGUAUAAUUAUCUAAUUGAAGCAAACUCAUGCUUUCCAAUAAGAUAAACAGAAAAAGGGUCAGAACUGAAACAAUAGAGGAAAGUAUGAAAUGCAACUGAAACAACCAAAUAUGUGACUAUGUGAGAAGUUAAGAACAACACAUUAGACCAUUCAAAACUGUGUACAAACAGAGAGGCACUCCAUAGAAUUAUUUAAGUGAUAAGCUAUAAAUCAAAAUGGAGAAACAAAACAGAGAGGCACUCCAUAAAAUUAUAUAUAUAUAUAUAUACAUGUUUGAUUUUAUGGGUAAGCAAUAAUAGAAUGUCUUAAUCAGAAAAAAACAGAGUUAUGUAGAUUCUUACUGUACUGAAUCCCAAAAGACUCCUUGAAGUUGGAUCAUCCCACACCAAAACCAACACUCUAACACCUUCUUGAGAUUUGACUUUAAGCAACUCUCCUAAUGUACCUUGGGUCGGAUCAUUGUUACGACGAACCAGCCUAACCGGAUGGAAAACUGACCAACCUGUGAUAUAAAUCAACCUCCUUGCCCGUCGUAUCGCAUCAGCCAUAUCUUCCCAGCAUUUUCCAUGUCUAUACUGAAUCCCACCAUCAAGAUGUACACUCGGAAGAGUACCGUCAUCAACAUGAGCAUCCUGAUAAAGAGUAACCCUACCGCCUUUCCUUAAAGGGAAGUAUGUACCGGGAACUCCUACACAUUCAACACCAAAACCAACACCCUUUUGGUAAAGUCUCAUUCUUUCCAUUGGAAUAUACUGAAUAGACAGACUCAACACAGCACCUUGUUUACAAGGCUUUCCUCUACUGUUAAGUAUCGGAAACAGCCCUUCGAUUCUAUUCCCGGAACACAACUGCUCGGUUGGGAUUUCAACAGCUCCAAUGAUCUGUGAUCCAAUAAUAUCACUGUCUUUCACAACAAAGUGAACUUUCGCAGCACUAUGAGCAACUGGUACAUCAAAAUGCUGCAUCCACACAGGAUUCUCACUAUUGCUAAUAACAAAAGUUCUACCAAUCACAGCACCAGAGAUAGAGACAGUAACAUAAGGAUCACUUGUGAUCUUAGAAGAAUUCUCACCAUCCACUUUAUGAUUCCUCCGACCUAACCCAAAAAACAUCCCACCAACAAGGGUGUUAUGGAAACCAUCCAUGUUAGGAAGAUGUUUAGCUUCCUUAACCCAAAUGUCUAAGUUACCAUGUAAUAAUUCAACCCUCAAAGAGCCACUACUUGUAUCAAACGGCACGAGUUGCUUGUCAAGCCACUGGCCAAACUCGUUGCUUGACCCUCCUCCCAUAGACAUAGUCUCGUUAUAAACUGGAUGAUACGCCAUGAAAAACAAAACUCAAAACGCAAAAGUAGGAAACUCUUAGUUGUCAGAUCAAAUCUCAAGCAUAACCCAGUUCAGUGAGACAAAAGAUCGAUCACUUGGUGCUUGGUGGGGAAUAAUCGAGAGAUCAAGAUUCAACAAAAGGAUAAAACUUUGAGAUAAUACAAACUCAGAGCAAAUCAAUGAAUAAAUGUGGAUCUAAAAAUAUGGGCAAAUUCAAAUUAAAGUUCAGGUUUUUGUGAAGAAGAAGGUGAGAGGGAGCGAAGGAAAACGUUGACUUGAAACGGAAGAAUCGGAAAAUUUCAAGGAUUUUUGGCUGCCGUUGUGGAAUCGUCUAACUUUAGCCAUUAAUGACACAUAUAUAAGAUGUUUCAUCUUUACUUAAACACAAAUGCCAAAUAAACUAUUUGUGUUUUAGUAACGACGACUAAGAAAGAAGACUUCCCCACUUUGGUUUUUAGCUGCUCACGAAACUCUUUCUCUCUGGUCCCUCUUUUGAUGUAACUUCAAUUUGAUUGACAUAAUUAUUAAAUUAAAUCAUAUAGUAGUGUAAUUAAUAAAUAAAGCAUGAAAUUUUCUUUAAAUGAAAUCAGUUACAAGCUUUAAAUUUUUUUUUUGCUACUAUGUCUUUUUGGAUCCCAGAUUAGACAUGUAAACUAAGAGCAUCUCUAAUGGUUAACCUUGGAUCUUAACAAUUAUUUCUAUUAAAGUUUUGUUAUUUCUAAGCUAAGAACAAAAUGAGAGUAUCUUAUAAAAAUAGUCCUCCAAUGGUUAAGGUUCAUAAGGGACAAAAAUCAAAUUUUUGUAUUUAGAUGUCUUUCAAUACAAGGAACCAUACAAACUUUUUUCAUCCUUUUCGGCCCAUGAAUCAUUCCAGUUAUGUGUAGCCCUAUGAUGACUGAAUGUCUAGCCCUAUGAUGGCUCUUGGCAUGUAAUUAAAGAGGUAUGUUGCAUUUAGAGAUAUUACCUGAGUGUAGCAAUCGAUUGCGGUUGUAAAAUCUUUGGAUCGGAAAGCUAAGUCCCCUUGCUUCUUUGAAAAGAGAGAUUCCUGCAUCUGGGUUGUCCACAUUUGAAACGAGAGCUGCAGAAGAAGGUAAAUAAAAUCAUAUUCAAAACAAGUCCCUAAUGCAAAAGACUAAGUAGUAAGCGAGAGGAAGGAAUAGAUUAACACCUCAAUGGCAAUUCCUUGUAUCCAAUCUUACUAAGUAUUUCCUGUAUGGCUGUAAGAUCCAUUCUUAAGCAGUAUUUCCUGUAUGGCUGUAAGAUUCACUCUUAAGCAUGCAUCAUCACCAAAGGAUGUCUGAGAAAGAAUGAGGCAGGAAAAACGAUGAUGAUCAUCAUUUAGAUUUUAGUAAGGACUGAACUAGAGAUUCCUUCCAAGAACUAUCCAGCAAGAAACAAAGAGCCAGGUCCUACAUUACAUCUAAAGUUUAUAUAUCUUCUAUUAGUAGAGAACUUACAUGGCUCGGUGGAAUAUGUUUUCCACUAAUGAGAUCGAGCAAAACGGUUCCAAAACUGAAAACAUAAUACACUCUCUGGUGUAACUCUACCUGACACAAGAUGAAGAAAGUGGAUUUAGCUUUGGGAACUUUGUGCCCUGAAAUAUUUUGGACAUAUAUAAACAUGAAGCAGAGAGAGUUUUACCCGUUAGCAAAUUUCUCUGUAGGAGUAAAUGCCAAGUUAGUGCUAUAUAACUCUUCCCAUCUCUGCUACUUUUCAUGAGUCCAAAGCAAGACAACCUGGGAUUCCCAUCCUAAAAACCGAUGAAAGAUAAACAAAAUUUUACGACUUCAAAUACAGAUCACUCAGAGAGAUAAAGAAACAUUGAAUCAAUAUAUUCACCAAAAUAAAUGCCAGCAUUACAGAGCUUGAUUAAGUAAGGUUCAUGCUUAAGCAGGAAAAGGAGAACGUUCAAACACAAACCAUCACCCAAAUCUAUCGUUAACUACCAGACUCACUAAAAUUAAUUCCAAUUGACAAGAUCUAAGAAAACCCAGUUUCGAAAUUUGAUGGUUUCAAUUCCAAUCAUCAAUCUCGGCUAAAAGGAACUGAAAAAAAUGAAAACAGAGAGAUACGUACCAUGGGAAAUAGAUUGGAGCAUACUCUCCGAUUUGAAAUCGUCGAGGGUCUCCACCGACGUUGAAAUGAAUAUAACGACAGAUCGGAUCCGACGCAUAUCUCCUCAUAAUUCAUCGGAUCGAGUGAUUUCGCGUUGAAGGUCGACAAAAAGAGAGAGACGAUGAAAUGGGGAAACAAACAAAAUUUGUCACGUGAGUACUUUUUUUUUUGGGUUUUGUCAUUAUAAUCCCACCAAUGGUGUAUCGACACGUCAUCGCCUCUUAACAUACCAAAUAACUCUAACCUAAAGACACACACACCUGGUUGCACACAAAAAAAAAAAGACACACACUUCUUAGUUCUUAUAAAGGAACAAAACUUGUAAAUAGGGAUAUAUGUCAUGACCAAAAAGAUAUUGUAUAAAAGAUAAUUUUUAUUCAAUUUUUUUUUUUUUUUUUUUGAUCUGUUGAUUUAGGUUGGAAUGCAGAAUUGUGGUGAAUUCAACACCAUCUCUCAAAUCUUUUAGAGAUAAUAUAGAUAGAUCAGAGAAGAUAGAAAGGAAAAAAGAUGGUGUGACGCGUUGAAUGCUCCAUGGCCACUGCAAGAAAAUGUAAUAACACUUUCAGAAAAUGGGGAUGUAAGUAAAAAAAAUUCGGAAAAAUGUCUGCAAACUUAUGAAUCUACUCAUGAUCAAAUGGAAGAAGAAAAUCUCAAGAAUCUUGACAUUAUUAUCAUUUGCUGACAAAUUGCAUAGAGAAGAGCAAGUCAACAAAUCCUUAUCUGCUUCCCUAUUCUAAUAAUUGUAUUGAGUUUUUCCUGUCUGACUUGUUGCAACUCCUUGGCUCCAACAAGUUACGAGGGAAAACAUAGCGAACUCCUUCCAGUAGUUACUACUUAAACUAAGCUAUGACUCUCUUCCUCCUCAACUUAAGCGAUGCUUUGACCUCUGCUCAGUAUUCCCCAAGGGCCAUGUUUUCGAUAGGGAGGAAUUAUUGCAGUAGACCUCUUAUACCAACCAAGGAGCAGCAGAAGAUUGGAAAUGAUUACCUGGUGAUUUAGUUUGCUCAAUCUUUUUUUUCAUGACAAGCUUUGUGAUGCAUGAUCUUAUGAAUGAUUUAGCAAAAGCUGUUUCAGGAUGACAUUUUUCAUUUUCUACAAGCCAAUGUGAUAUUGUAAUCAUAUAGUACUAAAGAUAUGACAACAUUACUAAAUUAAAUCAUAUAGUAAAAAUCCAAAACACACACUUUGAUAGAUCAAUUGAAAUUUUGUAAUAAAUAGAUUUACAGCUCAUAAAUUUGAAAAGCACAACUAGACCCUAAAGGCACACUUUCAAUCAGAUCACACUGAGAGAGAUUUCUUGAAGUGGAAGAAAUAAAGAACAAAUGUUGAUCACUACAAGCCUACAAGGUAAGUUUCAUAUGGUGAGGUUUUCUUGUAGUGCAAGGAACGAUCCUAUGAUCUUGCCACCCAGAUCUGGGAAUGUCUCGCAUCCAGGAAGAGAACUCACUUUGCCUGUUCUAUCA